AGGCAUUGAUUGCAAGUUCUUUUGCAAAGCAUGAUUACAAAAGAGUGAAAGAAAUUACGUUAUGUGUCUUAAAGAUUGGACUUCUUAUGGGAAUCACCCUAGCUCUAAUUCUUUUUGUCUCAUUUGACAAUGUUGCUGAAUUAUUCACCAAGGAUGUAGAAUUACUAACUAUUGUUAGAAGUGGGGUGGUGUUUGUCAGUGCCAGCCAACCCAUUAACGCUCUCGCUUUCAUUUUUGAUGGACUUCACUAUGGUGUUUCGGAUUUUGCUUAUUCUGCUUAU